rnacentral:piRNA from 1 species
CUAGAUAUGAACCUGCAGUGAU